rnacentral:rRNA from 1 species
UACGUAGGGUCCAAGCGUUAUCCGGAAUCACUGGGCGUAAAGCGUGCGUAGGCGGCGUGUUAAGUGUGAUGUUAAAUCGUGUGGCUCAACCAUAUCGAUGCAUCGCAUACUGGCAUGCUAGAGGAAGGCAGAGGCAAGUGGAAUUUGUAGUGUAGCAGUGAAAUGCGUAGAUAUUACAAGGAACACCAAUGGCGAAGGCAGCUUGCUGGGCCUUCUUGACGCUGAGGUACGAAAGCGUGGGGAGCGAACAGG